GAUUCUAUCUAUAAGUGGGAGAAGAGGUAUGUAUGUUUUGGAAGUUAACAUUUUCUUGAAUUGAAAAUGUAUUUCCAAUCAUACUUACCUCCCCUAACACUCUCCUGCCCUUCCUCUUUACUAAGAGUCAGUGUUAGAGACUGUGAAUUGAGUCAGUCUUGAAAAAGUGAUAACAUUAUGCGAAUGAAGUGCUUUUAUACAGCACCAGGAUAGAGGGCACAUUCAUGUAGAUGGAGAGUGUCAUGAGACAGAUAUCACCAAGGGCAAUUUAGUGGGGUAUAAAAGACUGGAGCAAGCGAGAAAAAAUCAGACCAAUGCUGGGCACAGAAAGAAACCCUGGCAGUCAAGUAAUAGCUGUAAGUGUCGGCAGAGGUAAGUAUUAUUGGAAACACAUUUUCAAUUUAGAAAAUUGUUAACUUCUGACUCAUAGCAUUAUUUAGAGUGGUCACUUGACAAUGUACAGUACAGACAGAAGUAUCUUAACGCUGACUUAUAGCAUUAUUAAAUAUAGGAAAGUUUAGAUGGUUAUAUGUGACAUCUACUGAGCUUUUACUUUUUUUAGGGAAUCAAACUCACUUCGUGAUUCUACCAGAUAAAAUCAUUAAACCAGACAGAUGGAUGUUGGAAGUCUCCAAGAGACACACAGAGGUAUUCAGGAACCAUUUAGAACCACCUUGGUAGAUACUGUAACAAGCCGAGUACAAUAUUAUGCCUGUAGCUGCUUUCAAAGUGUUCCUGUCUGCUCAUCCUACUGCAGACUAUCAUGAUGCUCUGAAUGGCAGGUAAAAUCGUUUGAAAGCUAAACAUACUAAGGUGAUAGCAGAAGCAUAAAAGGUUGACAGUUGCUUAAUUAAUGAUGAUGAGAAUGUGGCUUUAUUGAUAUUUACUGAAUUUACUCUCAGCGGGUAGUCUUUAGUACUAGCUAGUAUGGAGACUUGUGAAUGCUGUAUUUCACUUAAAAAUUUAUCAGGUAACAAAAGAAAACAUGUCUCGAAGUUGUCUCAAAUAUACAUCCAAAACCACCCUCCUUGGGAGUUUCCAGAUUGAACUUACUUUUAAUAUUCAACAAAUUCUAGUGUAAAGACACCUCUUGGAUCUUGAGGGGGGCGUUAAAAAUAAUUGUUUUAUAUUUUCAAAAAAAAGUGUUAAGAGCCCCAAACUCCAUUCAGUUUUGAAAAAUCUAGUAAAGUGUUUGAAGCCAAUAAUUGGAGCUUGUUUUGUUUGUAAAUAUUAACAAGAAUAUCAAACAUUAUUAUCUGAUAUUUCAGUAGUUAAUAAGGUAGUAAGUAUAAUGUUUUUUUGAUGUCAUUAUAUUUGUAUGAACUGAUAUUUUGUACAUACUUGUCAACACUUAAAGCACCAGAAAGGAGCAAAUAAUGUCUCAUUAGAUGGAAAGAAAUAAAAUUCUGAUGUGCACUUAGAAUUUGCUUAGGUAAUAGACCUCUAAAGAAUCUUUAGAGGCCAUAUGGAUGGCUUGUAGAAUAAUUUAGAAAAUAUCACUAUUUUUGUGGGAAGAGUAGUAUGUGUACAAGCAAGAGUGUUUACAAAUAUACUUGUUAUAAGACAUUAGUAUUAGGCCUAUCACAUUUUUAAACACUACAUUCUUGAUCUAGUCCCUUAGAGAUUUUCAAGAAUUAUAAGAGUGUAUAAUAAUAAUAAUAAUCCAAUCACGAUAUUUGUCACAAAAGGUAUAUACACUAUAACAGUUAAUAGUGUUGUUAUGUAAGUACUAAAAUAUAAUUAAGAUAAAUUAUUCUACAGUAUUACCUCUAGCUUAUUUUGGCAAUAAUAGGGAUCAUUAAGACCAGAUAAAAUUAGGAAAUUCAGCAUCUAUAUUAUCACAAUGGGAUUUUUUAAUAAAAGUGAAUGUGGUAGAAAAUAUCAUUGACUUGAGAAUACCCAUCUGAUGAUUCAGCACAUACUAAUUAUUAUAGAUUUUAAUUUUGUGGUAUAUUGUUUUAUACCAUUAAUUAUUUCUAGUCAGUUUGUUGUAUAGGGUUGCCUUCAUGAUUUACAAGUUACUUUUGAAACUAUUUAAAUUUACUUAUUUGUAUUUGGAAAUUCUCAACAGUUGAUCUCUGACUUAACCUGAGAAAAUUACAGUAGUUUCCUAAGUGGGCAGGAUCCCCACCAAAUCUGAAAAAGCAUAAAUGAAUUAUUUGCUGCAGCUAGAAAGGUUGGUGGCUGUUUGGGUGAAGAGUUACACAGUGUCAAAGUCCAUCAGUUUUAGGUGAUGACCAUCAGUCAAGCCAAGCAGAAAAAAAGAAAGCCAUGUUGGGCUAUCUGCUGUGUCUCCCGGGAGGAAGCAAACCCUGGAUCUUAGCAUUGUAAGUCCUGAGACUGCUGUCCCAACGAGGGGACAACAUUUCUACUAAACAAAGCUUUGAUAAGUAGUCAAUUUUUAGUAAUGCUGUCAACAAAACGUUUAUGAAGGUGACAACCUAUUACAGUGAUUAGGUUACUUUUAGAUAACAAUAAAUAGAUUACGUUUUUAAGAAUGUUGGUAUGAGAUACAUACCAGAUAUUUCUUUUCCUCUUAGUUUAGAAAGGUGAUAAUAUCUUGUUCACCAAAAUCUUUUGCACUUACAGUAUGUUUGGUACGUGUAUAGUACAUAUAGUGUGCAUAUACCUAGCAUUUUUUUUUUUUUUUUUGCAAUGUGGUGACCUUAUUCUUGAGCUAGUUACUCGUCAUCAACGAUCGUUGCCACUUUGAUAUUUCUUAACUCUUUCCAAGGAAGAUAGCGUUAAAGAGUUCUUUAUACGUGUAAUAAUAUGUUCUCUAGUAAGAUUGGUAGUGUAAAGGUUUAGAAAUACAUGGCGGAUAUGUCCUCUCUAUAUUUACUUACGGAAGAGACGGGUGUGACAAAUACACCCUUGGAGAUUGCAUCUAUAAUAUGAAGUAUAUGCUGGUUGGGUACUUCCAGUCUUGUUUAUGUUUUUCCAUUUAAUAGACAAGUGCUGUCCAUCGUCUUGUAUACAUGCUCCGAGUUGUGUCUAAAUUGUGUUCAAUAAAUAAAGCAUUGCUUCCAUUUCACUAUCAA
rnacentral:lncRNA from 1 species